rnacentral:rRNA from 1 species
CUCUUGACAUCCAGCGAACUUUCCAGAGAUGGAUUGGUGCCUUCGGGAACGCUGAGACAGGUGCUGCAUGGCUGUCGUCAGCUCGUGUUGUGAAAUGUUGGGUUAAGUCCGCAACGAGCGCAACCCUUAUCCUUUGUUGCCAGCGAUUCGGUCGGGAACUCAAAGGAGACUGCCGGUGAUAAACCGGAGGAAGGUGGGGAUGACGUCAAGUCAUCAUGGCCCUUACGAGUAGGGCUACACACGUGCUACAAUGGCGCAUACAAAGAGAAGCGACCUCGCGAGAGCAAGCGGACCUCAUAAAGUGCGUCGUAGUCCGGAUCGGAGUCUGCAACUCGACUCCGUGAAGUCGGAAUCGCUAGUAAUCGUGGAUCAGAAUGCUACGGUGAAUACGUUCCCGGGCCUUGUACACACCGCCCGUCACACCAUGGGAGUGGGUUGCAAAAGAAGUAGGUAGCUUAACCCUCGGGAGGGCGCUUACCACUUUGUGAUUCAUGACUGGGGUGAAGUCGUAACAAGGUAAGCGUACGUGU